AAUGCGAAGUGAACCGUAUUAAAGGGAACGCUUAGGUUACUCACGUAACCCCGGUUCCCUGAAAUAACGGGAACGAAGCAUUGCGUCGCUGGCCGUGCUACAAACAUCUAUGCAGCGAGUGUUAUUCGGCUGCGCGCUUCAGUCGAAUAAUAAUGAGCUCUUGACGUAUUUCCCCGGGCUUAUAUAAGGACGUGUGCCACGCCCCGCGCGGGCUCAAACGUCAUUGGUCUGUAUUUUCUACAGACGUUAACCAAUAGGCUUCAGUCACGGAGUAAACAGGAGUUUCCCCCAUAGCGUCAGCUAACUGACGCAAUGCUUCGUUCCCGUUAUUUCAGGGAACCGGGGUUACGUGAGUAACCUAAGCGUUUCUUGUAGGAGUUUUUGAAUAGAGUUUGUUUCCAAAUAAACUGAAAAUGUCCUACUGACCUUCAUUUCUAUUUUGAUUAUAUUGUUAACUUCUUAAUAAACCUCAAACAAACAUGUAUACAUUUGUCCUCAUAUUCUUUACUGUAGUUGCCAACAUUCCUGCCUCAUUUUGCAGCUCAUUAUGCGAGCCUUUGUUUGCUAGCUGUCAAUCAAUCCUUCUUGCAUACGGCCCCUCUAAACAAAAAGUGUCUUACAUUUCUAAAUCAAUAUAUUGUUUUAUGUGAAUAAGUAGGCAGGAUGAUUUUCACAUCAUUUUAACGAAAAAACUCUAGGCUACUAGAUUCUGUUUAGAAAAGUCUUGUUAAAACAUGUUUAGUAUGGGUUUUGUGGACUUUUAAAGCUUUUUAAAAAACCACUCAUAAACAUUUUUCUCUCAAAAAUACAAACAUGUACAUACUGUCAGGAUCAUUGAUUUCAGCUGUGUCCCUCAUUAGUUCUCCCUAUUUAUUGUCCUUGUGUUUGUUGUUCUGUGCACGUUCGUCUUGUCAUAUUCCUGUGUAAGUCUUCUGUAAGUAUUGAGAGUAAUUUAGUCUAGUCUGUUAUGUGUUAUGAAAAGUUAUUGUUGGUUUUAUGUUAAGUUUAGUGUCAGUGUAGUGUUGCGUUUACCCUGUCUUGUUUUGCCCCCUCGUGGGUUUUUGUUUUCCCUGUUUGUUUAAUAAAUUCCUAUUAUGUGUCAACGUCUGCAUUUGAGUUCGUUCCUUGUCUAAUUCCUCACAUUAAGAACGUGCCAAAUUAGAACCCAGCAGACAUGCACAGCCGUCUUGCACGGAGAGGUCGGAGCUAUCGCCUGGAGUGUGAACCGGGUCCUAUCUGGUUUCAUCCUCUUGUGUAUGGACCCAGGAUUAACUCCAGGCGGAACCAGACCAGAACCGCCGAACCCCGUCCACUUUCAUCUAUCCAAGAGGGACGUACCUUGGGAAUGUUGGGGCUCGGUCUGAGUCUGCGCAGCCAGCCCGGCCGCAGCCUGCGUCUGCGCAGCCAGCGCAACCCCAGCCAUGUGCGCAAUCAGCGCAACCCCAGACAGAAUCUGCCCCUUCCUGUCAUGCCUUUCGCAAGUCCUCCACAAGACCUCCCCGGACUCCCUCUGCUUCACCCAGAAAACCAAAGACUUCUUCCCCGCCCAGUCCCACCCCAUCUGGACCUCCUCCUGUGAACUUUCUUAUUCCCCCACCCCCGUCCCUUGUUUGUUAUUUUUAUUAUCCCACCCCAACCCAUUUGUCAUUAUUGCUUGUUUACCGUUGUUAUUAUUCGUAAUGUUUUCUUGGGUUUUGUCAGUCUGUUAUGUCCCGUGUUUAGUGUUCCCCUGAGUAGCGUCUGGUAGUCGCUCCUUAAGGGGGGGUUACUGUCAGGAUCCUGUCAGAAUCAUGUCUUGUAUUAUAGUUUUUGUGGCAGGGUUCUGACAGUAUCAUGUUUUGUGUGGGAAAUUAGAGUUUUUAGAAUUAAGAAUUAAGAAGUCAUCAACUGACCUCCCCAGGCCAAUGAGCAUUAAGCUGUAUCAUCAGCAAGUCCUUUCCAAUAGUGCUUUUCGUCUACGCAGUCGUUGAAGAGCAACUACGCGCGACUGCAGAAUCCGAUGAUCCCGCCUCGCCAUCACAAGAGUUUUUUGUCACACGUCAGCGUGACAUCAGAGCAAGGACCGCCUUCGGACACUUUUCUUACCGGCAUGCAUCCUGCAGUGAUAACCGGUGAUCCAUUCUGCGCAGAAAAAUUUUCAUCUCUAACAAGCAUAUUCGCACACAAAAAAGUCACACAGCGAUCUUGAAUUCGUUAUAUAAUUGGCUACAUGUUUUGUCUAUCAAUAUUUUCCAUGAUGUCAUUGGCUGAUGGAGGAACGAGUGAGCGAUUGUUUACAUUCAUAAAGGACGUCAUGUUUUCAAUGGCGCUGUUUGGAUUAUCGAUUAUACUACCUUCCUAUUUAAAUACAAACUUUGAAGGCGGGUUCAUGUGUUUACCGGAGCGUAAAGUGUAAUCUCAUAUACCCUUACAUGUUACGAUGUAAAUAGUCCUCAGAUUGUAUAUUAUAUUCUAUUACCAGAUGUCAUGCAAAAUCUGAUGUAAACAAUAGACUAUACAUAUCUAUAUUUCACGGAUUAUAUGCACUUGUGGACAAAAAUGGUCACUGAAUGAUUCACACAUAUGAAACUGGAUUCGACUUGUGAUCAACACAAAGGUAAAAAGUCCUGUUUAUUUUGCAUGUUGUCAUCCGGACUUCUGUCACAAACUACUACAUAUGAUGCUAGAGCAUCUGUAUCUCAAAAUGGCUGUACAAGCCUUUUCCCGGCAGGAAAAAGUUUAACUUUUCGUCACUAUUUUCUUGGCUUUCUGUUUCUUGAAUGUGUUACAUUCAAAUGGCCACAACUUCUCCAAAUCUUAUCAGAUUUAUAUGUGUUACACGUACACAACAAAUUAGAAGUCAACUUGAUAAAGGUGGUGUUGUUGGGGCUGUGUUUUUAGAUCUUGCAAAGGCCUUUGACACAGUGAAUCAUAACUGUCUAAUUUCCUUCAGAAAUUUCAAUUUUCCACUACUGCCCUGAAGUGGAUGAAAUCAUACCUUACUGAUAGGAAACAAUGUACAAGAGUUGUUGACAAGUGCUCUUCUUUUGCUAGCUGUCCUACAGGGGUUCCACAAGGGUCAAUUUUAGGACCGAUUUUAUUUAGUAUUUAUAUUAAUGAUCUCCGUCAAGUAUGUCCAGGUGUUAAUGUUAUAAUGUAUGCAGAUGUUACUGUGCUUUUUACUCAUGCAAGAACUAAAGAAUUAGCUGCAAGCAAACUUUCAUCUGCAAUGUUGAAGGUUUCAGAUUGGUUAAAUGAGUCCUGUUUGUCCCUUAACAUAAGCAAAACAGUUUGUAUGUAUUUUACUGCACAGAGACAGAACUUUGUGAAUCCAGAUAUCAUAUUGAACGGUGAAGCAAUCAAACCUGUGACACAUGUUAAAUAUUUAGGAAUAAUAAUAGAUCAACAUCUUUUUAAAAGCAAGUAAGAAGGGUUAUAAAUAAUGUUAAAUUUAAUUUGAAUAAUUUUAAAAACAUUAGGCACCAACUUUCUCAAUCAGCUGCAUUACUUUUUGUACAUACUUCGAUUCUCCCUCAUUUGUCGUAAUGUAUAACAACUUGGUCACAGGCAGGUGCAACCACAUUUAAGCCGGUGUAGUCCCUCCAUAAACAAAUUCUAAAGGUAUCAGACAAAAAACCAAGGGACCACCAUCAUUGUAUUAUUUUAAAAAGGCUCAACUUUUUGAGUUUUAAUAAUUUUGUAUUUUAUAAUAAUGUGUGUUUGAUGUACAAAAUUAUCCACAAUCUAGCUCCACCUCCUCUUAAGGAAUGCGUUGCCCAUAACGGAGGUGUCGGUAGGACUAGAGCAUCUGUUAGGGGAGAUUUGGUAACACAGUAUAAAAAACAGCCUUUAGUCAAAAAGCUUUUUCGAUUAGAGUAGUGGGGAUGUGGAAUUCCUUACCUAUAAACAUCCGAAGCCUUGUUAGCUUUUCAACUUUUAAAAAUAAGCUCAAGUACUGGCUAUUAUCAGAACAAAUUUGCAAUCAUCUAUAAUUAUGCAGUAAAUUAUGUGUUUUAUCUAUUGAUUUUUACAUUUUAAAUUCCUGGACAUUAGUGAUGUCCAGAUUGUGAACGAAUCGUUCUUUUGAACUGGUUUUUUUCAGAGAACGACUUGAAUCAGUACACCUAAUCGGACUGAAUCGUUUAAAAAGUUUGUAUCUCGAGACAGCAAUGAUCCACAAGUUACUCACUUUCAGAUGUGCUCGACAGUCAUUCCGAUUCUAAUUAAGAGAGAGUAUUCCGUAUCUUAACUUGUAGAAGCUCUCCCCAACAGUAUCACUGACUGAACCGAGACAUGGUGAAUUUUGUUGAUACUGAGCAUGCGCAACAAACAUACUGGUAUUCCAGAGUCACCGAUAAAAUGAAUACCUGAAUCAAGAACGGUUUCUAUUGGACGCGUCCGACUUGAUGAGCCGUUAAUACUGCGCAUGUGUUACUGAAAAGCACGAUACAGCGACUCUCGAGACAGGAAUGCACCAUGGUAGGCACCUCGGCUCCACCUGGCUGCCCAACUUCAUUCCACAUGACUGCUCGACUCCACUCGUUUAUGUACAGAACAGCAGAAAAAAUGUCAACCUCUAUUCCCGCCGGAAAAAAGUUGAAAUCUGCAAUAUGGGAAUACUUUGGGUAUCCAUAAAAUUUACGCAGGGUUGUCCUUGAAGAUGGAUAUCCAGUUUGCAAGAAACGUGGAUAAAGAGUGGCUGCAAAAGGAAGAAAUACGUUGAACAUGUGCUACCAUAUUUGCGAACACAUCCCUCUGUGCAGAUAAAGGCGUGUUUUGUUUAUAAUUUAAAUCAGUAUUAUUUCUGUGAUGCAGAGGGAAUCCCGAAAUCCAGUCACGAAAAUCAGCCAUAAAUCGAAACCAGAUUUGUGUUUAACCCUAUGGGGUCCGACCAUUUUGGGACACUGGCAGAGGUUCUGACAUGCUCUUACAUUUGGUCUUUUUUCAGUUGCUUUAAACAUAUUAAUGGCAAGUGUCUCAUAAAACUGCGUUCAGCAUAAACUGGGCUACAAUAUUAUAUGAGCUACAUAUUUGUAUUUUUGAGAGGAAAAUGUUUAUGCAUGGUUUUUAAAAAAAGCAAAAUAUUCAAUACCAUACUAAACAUGUUUUCACAAGACUUUUCUAAUCAGAAUCUAGUAGUCUACAGUUUUUCCUUUAAAAUGAUGUGAAAAUCAUUCUGCCUACUCAUUUACAUAAAACAAUAUAUUGAUUUAGAAAUUGUAAGACACUUUUUGUUUAGAGGGACUGUAUGCGAGAAGGAUUGAUUGACAGCUAGCAAACAAAAGACUCACAUAAUGAGCUGCAUAAUGAGCCUUUAGGCAGGAAUGUGAGAGGGAACUAGAGUAAAGAAUGUGAGGACAAACGAGAUGUAUAUGUAACAGGAUGACGUCUAGUCAUUGGUUAACGUGUGGUAAAACCAGACCAAUUGGAUGUUGAUUCAGAGGGUAUAAAAGCCCUGAGAGGUUGGGGAGCGAGAUGCGUCAUCCAGUGGUACCGCCCUCUUGGCGGACGCGGGUUUUAUGAAUGAAUGAAUGGUAAGUGUUGGCUGCACGCGUAAAUUCGUGUUUGUGUAAAGUUUUAAUUUUAUUAUACUUGUGCUAGGAUAAUGCUCGUUCCAUCGGGUGUCUCAUCACCGAGUAUGUGAUGUUCGUAACCUUUGGGAAUGAAUUGGUGACAUGUAGCCUACGCCUUCACGGUGUCCGUAACCACAUUAAAUGGGACGAGUGUUAAUCUGAGAUGACUGCACUGCUGCCUUGCCUGGGUCUCAUUUGCUCAAUUUGGUAGUUGGACGCUCACGAAUCCGCGACAAUGAUAUUGCCCUCCUUUAGGCUGCUAUAGGACUGAGGUGGGGUGCUGACGGCCUUGACCACGUCAUUUGACUACGGGACUGUGAUCAUGAAGGUCUGAAUUGACUGUUUUAUCCACUGCUUUUAAAGUGCAGCCUUUCUCUCUGGUCGCUGGGAGUACACGUGACCCAACUACCUUCAGCUGCCGCUUAUGGUUGUUUGUCGGUUUAUUAAAUUGCCUUGAUUAUGCUUUUUGUUUUAUGUUUUAGUUAUUAAUGUCUGUCUUUUUGUAUAAGUUUAAUUGUUUUGAUUGUAUUUUGUUUGAAGUGGGAUGCGUUGGCUGGGGAUUGAAAUUCACAAAUUGCGGUUUGCUGUUUUGCAGUGCUUCACAAACUUUGCGGUAUUGAGUGUGGGGUGUAAACUACACAAUCCCUGCCAGCAACUCUCACUUUAAUUUUAUUGUUUUUUUUUUCCGUAUGUGUUGUGAAGCUUAAAUUGUGACUCUUGAGGGACGAUUAUUUUUUUACUCUAUAAAAUAAAGAAUUUAUAUAUUUUUCUAUA